rnacentral:rRNA from 1 species
ACUCCAAUGCGGACGAUUUAGCCAUGCUAGUCGCACGAGUUCAGAGCUCGUGGCGAAUAGCUCAGUAACACGUGGCCAAACUACCCUUCGGAACACAAUACCCUCGGGAAACUGAGGCUAAUAGUGUAUACCAUACCACCACUGGAACGAGUGGUAUGCCAAACGCUCCGGCGCCGAAGGAUGUGGCUGCGGCCGAUUAGGUAGACGGUGGGGUAACGGCCCACCGUGCCAAUAAUCGGUACGGGUCAUGAGAGUGAGAACCCGGAGACGGAAUCUGAGACAAGAUUCCGGGCCCUACGGGGCGCAGCAGGCGCGAAACCUUUACACUGCACGACAGUGCGAUAGGGGGAUCCCAAGUGCACAGGCAUAGCGCCUGUGCUUUUCGGCACCCUAAGGCGGUGCCAGAAUAAGGGCUGGGCAAGACCGGUGCCAGCCGCCGCGGUAAUACCGGCAGCCCAAGUGAUGGCCGAUCUUAUUGGGCCUAAAGCGUCCGUAGCUGGCCGCGCAAGUCCAUCGGGAAAUCCACCUGCUCAACAGGUGGGCGCCCGGUAGAAACUGCGUGGCUUGGGACCGGAAGGCGCGACGGGUACGUCCGGGGUAGGAGUGAAAUCCCGUAAUCCUGGACGGACCGCCGAUGGCGAAAGCACGUCGCGAGAACGGAUCCGACAGUGAGGGACGAAAGCCAGGGUCUCGAACCGGAUUAGAUACCCGGGUAGUCCUGGCCGUAAACAAUGUCUGCUAGGUGUGGCUCCCACUACGAGUGGGUGCUGUGCCGUAGGGAAGCCGCUAAGCAGACCGCCU